GAGUUUGAUCGUGGCUCAGAUUGAACGCUGGCGGCAUGCCUUACACAUGCAAGUCGAACGGUAACAGGUCUUCGGAUGCUGACGAGUGGCGAACGGGUGAGUAAUACAUCGGAACGUGCCCAGACGUGGGGGAUAACGAGGCGAAAGCUUUGCUAAUACCGCAUACGAUCUAAGGAUGAAGCAGGGACCGCAAGGCCUUGCGCGUUUGGAGCGGCCGAUGGCAGAUUAGGUAGUUGGUGGGAUAAAAGCUUACCAAGCCGACGAUCUGUAGCUGGUCUGAGAGGACGACCAGCCACACUGGGACUGAGACACGGCCCAGACUCCUACGGGAGGCAGCAGUGGGGAAUUUUGGACAAUGGGCGAAAGCCUGAUCCAGCAAUGCCGCGUGCAGGAUGAAGGCCUUCGGUU
rnacentral:rRNA from 1 species